GCUACCUCAGUCAAGAGUAACGAAUACCAGUUAUUAAGCAGUUGCAUUAUACAAUGCGGUGUCCUUUGUCGGAUAAAAGAUAUAUGUACUUUGUAAGUCAAAGUUGAAUAGAACAAAGAAUGUGAUAGUUUUAUGAAAGAAUCAGCCUAUUUUAAUCAUCCUCUGAGUAUCAAGUUCUUUAAUUAUAAUUGAAUUUAGAAUAGUACAAGUUUACCUAGGAUGUGUUACAAACCUCUACGAACUGCUCGGAAAUUUAGAUACUUAUGCUGAUAAAAAUUUAGAAGUCUCAUACC